UACAGAGGUCUCAAGCGUUGUUCGGAUUCAUUGGGCGUAAAGGGUGCGUAGGCGGCCAACUAAGUCAGACGUGAAAUCCCUCGGCUUAACCGGGGAACUGCGUCUGAUACUGGAUGGCUUGAGUUUGGGAGAGGGAUGCGGAAUUCCAGGUGUAGCGGUGAAAUGCGUAGAUAUCUGGAGGAAUACCGGUGGCGAAGGCGGCAUCCUGGACCGGCAUGACGCUGAGGAGCGAAAGCUAGGGGAGCAACGGGG
rnacentral:rRNA from 1 species